rnacentral:rRNA from 1 species
UACAGAGGGUGCGAGCGUUAAUCGGAAUUACUGGGCGUAAGGCGUGCGUAGACGGUUAUUUAAGUCGGAUGUGAAAUCCCUGGGCUCAACCGAGGAAGUGCAUCCGAAACUAUUUGGCUAGAAGAUGGCAGAGGAAGGUGGAAUUCCUAGUGUAGAGGUGAAAUUCGUAGAUAUUAGGAGGAAUACCGGCGGCGAAGGCGGCCUUCUGGACCAUUCUUGACGCUGAGACGCGAAAGCGUGGGGAGCAAACAGG